GUUGGCAUAGUGCAGUGGUUAGCACGUCUCGUUGUGGAACGUUUGGAAGCCUCGACAUUGUUAGGACGGAGGAAACAGAUGAAGCACCUCCUGCACGCCCUGUAAAGUCUGAGUCUACCAGAACAACACACUCACGGUUCCGAGGAAACCUAGGUUCAAAUCCUAAUACCGACA
rfam:Exophiala mesophila strain CBS 40295 unplaced genomic scaffold supercont1.5, whole genome shotgun sequence.